rnacentral:rRNA from 1 species
UAAUACGAGAGGCGCAAACGUUAUUCGGAAUUACUGGGCUUAAAGAGUUCGUAGGCGGCGCAGAAAGUAGGGUGUGAAAGCCCUCGGCUCAACCGAGGAAUUGCGCUCUAAACUACUGUGCUUGAGGAACCUAGAGGUGAGCAGAACAGAUGGUGGAGCGGUGAAAUGCGUUGAUAUCAUCUGGAAUACCGGAGGCGAAGGCGGCUCACUGGGGGUUUUCUGACGCUGAGGAACGAAAGCCAGGGUAGCGAACGGGAUUAGAUACCCCGGUAGUCCUGGCCGUAAACGAUGAGCACUAGGCCGGAGGGCUGCACAGCCUUUCGGCCGUAGCUAAAGUGUUAAGUGCUCCGCCUGGGGAGUAUGGUCGCAAGGCUG